AUGGCCAAUUUGCUGCAUGAUGUAGGAGAUACCAUCGCAGCUAAUGACCAGCCUAGCCUUUCCUUCGCAGCAUCUACCAUGGAUGAAGGCCCCGAGAAAGAGAGGGAUGCUCAAGUUGUAGCUGUAGGCAUUGUGAUGAAUGAAGAUCAAGUCAUAGAGGGGCUGAAAGGGAACCAGGAUGUCACAACCGGUGUCGGUGACACACACGAGCAACAAGGGGCGAGUAUCGAGGUGAUAGGACAUGUGUCACCUCGCAGCCCUCCACUCUACUGUGAUGCACCUAGGAGCAUGACAGCUGGUAUACGAGAUGAUGUUCUAUCCUGCAAUCUGUUCCGAAAGGGAUCUAAAGACUAUGAGUGGAUGCAUUCCAUGGAUUACGAUGCAAACAAAAGGACGUACCACAGUCAAGCCCCUCUACCCGAACAUCUCCGUGUUUCAUGUCUCAGAUGA
rnacentral:rRNA from 1 species